rnacentral:piRNA from 1 species
UAAGAAACUAGCUGAGACCUUAG